UGGAGAAGUGGUAAGUUUUAAAAUUAAUAGUUAAUACAACGCAAGUUGCACUAUUAGUAUAAAAUUCUAUUAGAAUUGAAUGAAGCUUUGUUUAUAUAUUGAUAAUGACAGUAUAUAUAUUGUGUCUUGACCAAUUACGUGCCAGCAGUCGCGGUAAUACGUAAGAGACUAGUGUUAUUCAUCUUAAUUAGGUUUAAAGGGUACCCAGACGGUCAAUAUAGCUUCUAUAAUGUUAGUACUUGACUAGAGUUUUAUGUAAGAGGGCAGUACUUGAGGAGGAGAGAUGAAAUUCCGUGAUACCAAAGGGACUCUGUAAAGGCGAAGGCAGCCCUCUAUGUAUAAACUGACGUUGAAGGACGAAGGCACAGAGAACAAACAGGAUUAGAUACCCUAAUAGUCUUUGCAGUAAAUGAUGAAUGCCAUAGGUCAGCAUGGGAUUAUAUGAGUAAAUAAUACUCUUCCCUUGGUCUAUAAAUGAAAGUGUAAGCAUUUCACCUCAAGAGUAAUGUGGCAACGCAGGAACUGAAAUCACUAGACCGUUUCUGACACCAGUAGUGAAGUAUGUUGUUUAAUUCGAUGAUCCACGAAAAACCUUACCACAAUUUGAAUAAUUAUAUUACAGGAGUUGCACGGCUGUUUCCAGUUAAUGUUGUGAAACUGUGGUUUCCAUGAAAUUAACGUAAUCCCUGGCUUUAUUUUUAUAAGUUCAUUGCAGCUAUUACGAUAAAGCAUUCGAUCCUGGAAAUUUGGAAAGAGAAAGGGGACAAAGACAAGUCAUCAUGGCCUUGAUAUUGUGGGCUAUAGACGUGCCACAUAUACCUAAACAAAGAGAUGCAAAAAUGUGAAUUUAAGCUAAUCUCAAAAAAUAGGAUAUAAAUUUUAAGGAUUAUAGUCUGAAAUUCGACUAUAUGAAUAAGUAAUUACUAGUAAUCGUGAAUCACCAUGUCACGGUGAAUAUAGCUUGGAUUGGUACUAACCACUCGUCACAUGCUGAAAGGAGCAUG
rnacentral:rRNA from 1 species